GAUGAACGCUGGCGGCGUGCCUAACACAUGCAAGUCGAGCGUGAUUAAGUGGAGUGAGGACUUCGGUCUGAGUGAAACUUAUGAAAGCGGCGGACGGGUGAGUAACGCGUGGGCAACCUGCCCCAUACAAAGGGAUAGCCAUUGGAAACGGUGAUUAAUACCUUAUAAGUCGGUAGUCUCGCAUGAGAUAGCCGACAAAGAUUUAUCGGUAUGGGAUGGGCCCGCGUCUGAUUAGCUAGUUGGUGAGGUAACGGCUCACCAAGGCGACGAUCAGUAGCCGACCUGAGAGGGUGAUCGGCCACACUGGAACUGAGACACGGUCCAGACUCCUACGGGAGGCAGCAGUGGGGAAUAUUGCGCAAUGGGGGAAACCCUGACGCAGCAACGCCGCGUGAGUGAGGAAGGUCUUCGGGUCGUAAAGCUCUGUCAGGCGGGAAGAAAUGCAUGGAGGUGAACAGCCGCCAUGCUUGACGGUACCGCCAGA
rnacentral:rRNA from 1 species